rnacentral:rRNA from 1 species
UGAGAGUUUGAUCCUGGCUCAGAACGAACGCUGGCGGCAGGCCUAACACAUGCAAGUCGAACGCCCCGCAAGGGGAGCGGCAGACGGGUGAGUAACGCGUGGGAACCUACCUUGUGGUACGGAACAACCAAGGGAAACUUUGGCUAAUACCGUAUGAGCCCUUAGGGGGAAAGAUUUAUCGCCAUAAGAUGGGCCCGCGUAGGAUUAGCUAGUUGGUGAGGUAAAAGCUCACCAAGGCGACGAUCCUUAGCUGGUCUGAGAGGAUGAUC